AUUGAACGCUAGCGGGAUGCCUAAUACAUGCAAGUCGAGCGGAUCUUUAGGAGCUUGCUCCUGAAGAUUAGCGGCGGACGGGUGAGUAACACGUGGGCAACCUGCCUGUAAGACUGGGAUAACACCGGGAAACCGGUGCUAAUACCGGAUAAUUCUUUCCCUCACAUGAGGGAAAGCUGAAAGUCGGUUUCGGCUGACACUUAACGAUGGGUCCGCGGCGCAUUAGCUAGUUGGUGAGGUAACGGCUCACCAAGGCGACGAUGCGUAGCCGACCUGAGAGGGUGAUCGGCCACACUGGGACUGAGACACGGCCCAGACUCCUACGGGAGGCAGCAGUAGGGAAUCUUCCGCAAUGGACGAAAGUCUGACGGAGUAACGCCGCGUGAGUGAUGAAGGCCUUCGGGUCGUAAAACUCUGUUGUUAGGGAAGAACAAGUAUCGGAGUAACUGCCGGUACCUUGACGGUACCUAACCAGAAAGCCACGGCUAACUACGUGCCAGCCGCCGCAGUAAUAC
rnacentral:rRNA from 1 species